ACGGGAGGCAGCAGUGGGGAAUAUUGCACAAUGGGGGAAACCCUGAUGCAGCGACGCCGCGUGAAGGAAGAAGUAUCUCGGUAUGUAAACUUCUAUCAGCAGGGAAGAUAAUGACGGUACCUGACUAAGAAGCCCCGGCUAACUACGUGCCAGCAGCCGCGGUAGUACGUAGGGGGCAAGCGUUAUCCGGAUUUACUGGGUGUAAAGGGAGCGUAGACGGUCUUGCAAGUCUGAAGUGAAAGCCCGGGGCUCAACCCCGGAACUGCUUUGGAAACUGUAAAACUAGAGUGCAGGAGAGGUAAGCGGAAUUCCUAGUGUAGCGGUGAAAUGCGUAGAUAUUAGGAGGAACACCAGCGGCGAAGGCGGCUUACUGGACUGUAACUGACGUUGAGGCUCGAAGGCGUGGGGAGCAAACAGGAUUAGAUACCCUGGUA
rnacentral:rRNA from 1 species